rnacentral:rRNA from 1 species
GAAGACCGCAGCUAAAUGCGCGUCAGAAUGUGAACUGCAGGACACAUGAACACCGACACGUUGAACGCAUAUGGCGCAUCGGCUCGCCUCAAAACGACCGAUGCACACAUCCUUGAGUGUCUACUUACGUUGCCCAAACCACCCGGGCCCCGUUCGCGCGGGGUCCGUCAUUCGACUACAACAUGCCGCGCGGGUCGCAGACCGAGGCGGACGUUGUGCAUAACGGCGUGCUGGGCGCGGCUUCGCGCCGCCCCAGGGCGUUGAUCCGGGUGAGUUGGAUUCGAGCGGGCGCGGCCGGCCGUCACUGGCCUGCACGCGCUCGGCGCGCGCGGUCCCUCGGUCGUUAGAUGUUGCGCUCGUAGCCUUCCCUAGGUGGACUACAAUGGCGCCAGAUGCUUCCGACCGGUACGGGGGACCCGACAGUUCGCGUCUUGCGGUCGGUGCCUACAAGGUUGCCCCCAGUGGCAAACACAGUGUACGCCGCCGUCGCCCCGCCCGAGCCACAUCCACUUGCUCUCGGUGGUCGUCGCCCCACGGCGGCCACCCCACCAACAACACGUAGACCUCAGGUGAUGUGUGGUAACCCCCGGAAUUUAAGCAUAUUAAUAAGGGGAGGAAGAGAAACCAACCGGGAUUCCCUGAGUAGCUGCG